CUUUUUCGCCCCGCCCUUCAAAUGCGAAAGCGACUGCCUUCUUGGUCCUUAGGAAAUUAGAACUAAGAUUUUCAGUUUACUUGCUUGGGAGGAUCAGCGACAUUUCGGUGCAGGAGCACGGAAUACUGAUACAGUAGACAGGGUGUCGCCAUGUUUGCCAGGCUGGCCUCGAACUCCUGACCUCAAGUGAUUUGCCUGCCUUGGCUUCCCAAAGUGCUGGGAUUACAGGCAUGAGCCACCACGUCUGGACAUAAACCCAGUAAUUUUGUACGAUUUAUAAAACAAUGUAGUCUGCAGGAACUAAGGCUAUGUUUUGCCUCAAAUGUUCUUUGUUUUCAGAAUAAAAUACUUGGUCAGUGGAAUCUCUUCAACAAAAUAGAAGAGAAGCAGUCAUGGAGUGAAGAAAUAAAUCAUCUUUGUUUCUACUCAUCUGUCACUUAUGCAAUACAUACAAUAUGUAAAAAGGAAAAAUCCCUGUGUAAUAGCCUAAGGCAACCAGCAGCUUCCACGUCGGUUGGAUAUUAAUAAAUUUUUUUCUUUACUGUAAAAUAUACCCAUCAGCUUUUUUUUUUUUUUUUUUUUUUGAGAUGGAGUCUUGCACUGUCACCCAGGCUGGAGUGCAGUGGCGCAAUCUCCACCCACUGCAAGCUCUGCCUCCUGGGUUCACACCAUUCUCCUGCCUCAGCCUCCCAAGUAGCUGGGACUACAGGCGCCCGCCACCACACCCGGCUAGUUUUUUGUACUUUUAGUAGAGACGAGGUUUCACCAUAUUAGCCAGGAUGGUCUCGAUCUCCUGACCUCGUGAUCCACCUGCCUCGGCCUCCCAAAGUGCUGGGAUUACAGGCAUGAGCCACCGCACCCGGCCACUAGCUUUUCUAAGACACUUUGUUUGUUUUUAAAUACCAGACCUCUGCUAUGACAAUGUUUGAUUUUGUAAACUUCAGGUCAAAUCAUGUCUUCUGAAAAGUAACUGCAUAUAAAACACGUUGAGACAUUUGCUUAAGAUGUUGAUCCUGGUUUCAAGUAACAGCAUAAGGG
rnacentral:lncRNA from 1 species